UGGGGAAUUGUUCGCAAUGGGCGCAAGCCUGACGACGCAACGCCGCGUGGAGGAUGAAGAUCUUCGGGUCGUAAACUCCUGUCGAGCGGGACGAAUGUUCUGCGGAUGAAUAAGCCGCAGAGGUGACGGUACCGCUAAAGGAAGCCCCGGCUAACUCCGUGCCAGCAGCCGCGGUAAUACGGGGGGGGCAAGCGUUGUUCGGAAUUACUGGGCGUAAAGGGCUUGUAGGUGGCCAAUUAAGUCAGACGUGAAAUCCCCAGGCUCAACUUGGGAACUGCGUCUGAUACUGGUUGGCUUGAAUUCGGGAGAGGGAUGCAGAAUUCCAGGUGUAGCGGUGAAAUGCGUAGAUAUCUGGAGGAAUACCGGUGGCGAAGGCGGCAUCCUGGACCGAGAUUGACACUGAAAAGCGAAAGCCAGGGGAGCAAACGG
rnacentral:rRNA from 1 species